GGUAGCUAAGUGGGUAAAGCGUUUAUAGCUAUUUACUCGGUAUCGAGGUCGACGGUUCAAUUCCGUCCUGGAGCA